rnacentral:lncRNA from 1 species
CCAUCACUGAUUAUUUUUCUGUCACAAGAAGAGUCCCCUCCCCCAUUAUCAACUACUUGAUAUUACCAUGUUUUAUUCAUAUUACUCCAUCCUACUGUGGCAGUCAGGUCCAGGAGCUGGUGUAGUGGAAAGAGGAGACAGAGUCAGCAGAUCUAGCCUCUAGUCUCAGCUCUGCCACUAACUAGCUGCAUGAUGUUGGGCAAGCCACUUGCCUCUCUGGGCCUCUGUUUCCUCAUCUGUAAAAUGAAGAGGUUGAACUAGAUGACGUCUAAGGUCCCUUCCAAGUCUAAAAUUCUAAAAUUCUAAGACAACAAGCCUAAGAGGUAAGCACUUCUUGGCUUUUUUUUUUUUGUCCACCUCACACUUUGCCCAAAAUUUCCAUGUUAUAAAUUCACACUAUACCACUUCAGGGCUGGUCUUAUAGUUGCUUGAAUGUUCUCUUCCCCAUUAGACUGGGCGUUCCUAGAGAGCAGGGACUGUCUUUUGCCUUUCUCUGUAUCCCUAAGGCUUAGCACAGUGCCUGGUACAAACAUAUAUUUGCCUUAAGUAUUUAAAAAUGUCACACUAGACUCCAGACCAAAGAAAGGGGAGGAGAAAAGAAGGGAGGUAGUGAGGAAGAGGAAACGGGGGGAAAAAAGGGGUUUUGGAGGAGGGGAACGAGGGAGGUGAAGCAUCAGGACGUUUUGGAGAAUGGCAGGUGCCUGGAACGAAUGGGCUCCGGAUUACGAGUGGCCGAAGCCGGUCCUGGAGUUUCGGCGCGCCGUUCGCCCGUGUGAUUGAUACCGAGGCGCCUGCCUGCUCGCAUAGGCCGCAGAGCCAGCCGCGCUGCGCGGGGUGCUCUCGGACGUCCUCCGCUAGGCCGGCGUGCACUGCGGCCCGAAAGAAUUGGAGGCGGGAACCAUAGAGAGCAGCGCCUUCAAGAGUCGCCUCCGUUGAGCGACGCCUCACCACGCAGGAGGCGGAUAAUCAUAGAGAAGGCUGGGUAGGCUAGACGCGCCCGGAUCGAAGGGGCGGUAACUUCCGUCGCCCGCCGCCAUCUUUGCUUGGGGCCGAUUGGCGUUCGCGACGCCUUGACGCCAUCUUGAGGUCAAGGUGGCUGCGGGGAUGAGCUGCCGAAGGAGCCUCCUGAUACACAUGACAUUGGGCCGUACUUGGGUGGUUGAGCCUCUCGACGAAGCUCGGGCUCCUUUUCCAAAAGGAGGACUCCCUAAUAGCCCUUGGGACUCCCUAGCCAGGA